rnacentral:rRNA from 1 species
UACGUAGGGUGCGAGCGUUAAUCGGAAUUACUGGGCGUAAAGCGUGCGCAGGCGGUUGUGGAAGACAGAUGUGAAAUCCCCGGGCUCAACCUGGGAACUGCAUUUGUGACUGCACGGCUCGAGUGCGGCAGAGGGGGAUGGAAUUCCGAGUGUAGCAGUGAAAUGCGUAGAUAUGCGGAGGAACACCGAUGGCGAAGGCAAUCCCCUGGGCCUGCACUGACGCUCAUGCACGAAAGCGUGGGGAGCAAACAGG